rnacentral:rRNA from 1 species
UGGGGAGUAGCCGGGCUAACGCCCCGGGGUAAUACCGCAUACGGUUGCCGAGGGGAGGUCCCUUGGCAAAGAAACCUCCGGGGCACAGAGAGGGGCUCGCGGCCUAUCAGCUAGUUGGUGAGGUAACGGCUCACCAAGGCGUCGACGGGUAGCUGGUCUGAGAGGAUGGCCAGCCACAUUGGGACUGAGAGACGGCCCAG